AGGAAGGAAGGAAGGAAGGAAGGAAGGAAGGAAGGAAGGAAGGAAAAGAGAAAGCCACUUUCUUUCCUUCCUUCCUUCCUUCCUUCCUUCCUUCCUUCCUUCCUUCCUU